ACACUCCUACGGGAGGCAGCAGUGGGGAAUAUUGCACAAUGGGCGCAAGCCUGAUGCAGCCAUGCCGCGUGUAUGAAGAAGGCCUUCGGGUUGUAAAGUACUUUCAGCGGGGAGGAAGGCGAUAAGGUUAAUAACCUUGUCGAUUGACGUUACCCGCAGAAGAAGCACCGGCUAACUCCGUGCCAGCAGCCGCGGUAAUACGGAGGGUGCAAGCGUUAAUCGGAAUUACUGGGCGUAAAGCGCACGCAGGCGGUCUGUCAAGUCGGAUGUGAAAUCCCCGGGCUCAACCUGGGAACUGCAUUCGAAACUGGCAGGCUAGAGUCUUGUAGAGGGGGGUAGAAUUCCGGGUGUAGCGGUGAAAUGCGUAGAGAUCUGGAGGAAUACCGGUGGCGAAGGCGGCCCCCUGGACAAAGACUGACGCUCAGGUGCGAAAGCGUGGGGAGCAAACAGGAUUAGAUACCCGGGUAGUCCCAUG
rnacentral:rRNA from 1 species